rnacentral:rRNA from 1 species
UUGCUGGCGACCGGCGCACGGGCGAGUAACACGUAUCCAACCUGCCGAUAACUCGGGGAUAGCCUUUCGAAAGAAAGAUUAAUACCCGAUGGUAUAAUCAGACCGCAUGGUCUUGUUAUUAAAGAAUUUCGGUUAUCGAUGGGGAUGCGUUCCAUUAGGCAGUUGGUGAGGUAACGGCUCACCAAACCUUCGAUGGAUAGGGGUUCUGAGAGGAAGGUCCCCCACAUUGGAACUGAGACACGGUCCAA